GUGCCAGCCGCCGCGGUAAUACGUAGGUGGCAAGCGUUAUCCGGAAUUACUGGGCGUAAAGCGCACGCAGGCGGCUCGUCAAGUUCGACGUGAAAGCUCCCGGCUUAACUGGGAGAGGUCGUUGAAAACUGGCGAGCUUGAGGCAAUGAGAGGGGUGUAGAAUUCCCGGUGUAGUGGUGGAAUGCGUAGAUAUCGGGAGGAAUACCAGUGGCGAAAGCGGCACCCUAGCGUUGUUCUGACGCUCAUGUGCGAAAGCGUGGGGAGCGAACGGGAUUAGAAACCCGCGUAGUCC
rnacentral:rRNA from 1 species